AGGACGAACGCUGGCGGCGUGCUUAACACAUGCAAGUCGAGCGGUAAGGCCCUUUCGGGGGUACACGAGCGGCGAACGGGUGAGUAACACGUGGGUGACCUGCCCUUAGCUCUGGGAUAAGCCUGGGAAACUGGGUCUAAUACCGGAUAUGACUCCACGGUGCAUGUCGUGGGGUGGAAAGCCUUGUGCGGCUGAGGAUGGGCCCGCGGCCUAUCAGCUUGUUGGUGGGGUGAUUGCCUACCAAGGCGACGACGGGUAGCCGGCCUGAGAGGGCGACCGGCCACACUGGGACUGAGACACGGCCCAGACUCCUACGGGAGGCAGCAGUGGGGAAUCUUGCGCAAUGGGCGAAAGCCUGACGCAGCGACGCCGCGUGAGGGAUGACGGCCUUCGGGUUGUAAACCUCUUUCAGCUCCGACGAAGCGAGAGUGACGGUAGGAGCAGAAGAAGCACCGGCCAACUACGCGCCAGCAGCCGC
rnacentral:rRNA from 1 species